CAAAAUCGAAGACAUCAUUUUUACUACACUUGCCCAGUAUUUCAACGACAUAGGUGAAGUGAAGUCUUUGGCUAUAUAUUUGGGUUACAAUAAAAUCUGUAUCAACCGUGUGAACAUGGCCAAAUAUCCAGAUCUCCUUGAAAUGUCGAAGAUCUUCAUGAAAGGAUAUGUCGCUAACUAUGGCAUAAUAAGCUUCAUCGAUAAGCUU